GACGAACGCUGGCGGCGUGCUUAACACAUGCAAGUCGAACGGAAAGGCCCUGCUUUUGUGGGGUGCUCGAGUGGCGAACGGGUGAGUAACACAUGAGUAACCUGCCCUUGACUGUGGGAUAACUGCAGGAAACUGGGGCUAAUACCGGAUAGGAGCUCCUGCUGCAUGGGGGGGGUUGGGAAGUUUCGGCGGUUGGGGAUGGACUCGCGGCUUAUCAGCUUGUUGGUGGGGUAGGGGCCUACCAAGGCGAUGACGGGUAGCCGGACUGAGAGGGUGACCGGCCACCCUGGGACUGAGACACGGCCCAGACUCCUACGGGAGGCAGCAGUGGGGAAUUUUGGACAAUGGGCGAAAGCCUUAUCCAGCAAUGCCGCGUGUGUGAAGAAGGCCUUCGGGUUGUAAAGCACUUUUGUCCGGAAAGAAAUCCUUGGCUCUAAUACAGUCGGGGGAUGACGGUACCGGAUGAAUAAGCACCGGCUAACUACGUG
rnacentral:rRNA from 1 species